ensembl:lncRNA
AGGAGGAAGAGUUGAUGAAAACACGAGGAGAAUCAGAGUGCGGGACCCUUCGGAUGACUGGGAUGCUCCUGGGUGGAGCGAGAAAGAGAGAGAGAGGGAGAGGAGGCGGAGAAAAACAGAUGGACUGCAUGAAACGAGAAGGACGGAGGCAGGUCGCUGUGAUGAAAAUGAAACCACGUGAACAACGAGGUGUCAGGAUGCAGAAUAAGACGGGAGGAUGUGAAAGAGAAUGCAUACACAAAGAUGGGGAGACGAGAAGGAGGAGCAGGAGGAGGAGGAGGCUACCUCCUCCAGCUCCUGUUGCUGCUGGGGGGAAAAGGCUCCCGUGCACAGCCAGGAGUCAGUGAAGUGCCUGAUUAGGCACGUGUAAUCCACGGGGUUUUCAUAUGCAUGCAUGCAAACACGCCGUCAUCGUACCUUAAUACCGAUGCGUUUGGCUGGUUCCUCUGCAGCCUCUUUUCAUCCAACGACUCCUCCGAAAACUUGUCGGACGCACCAACUCCUCGCUCCUCGGUUACACGCGUCCCUUUUCCUGUUGUUACCGGACUACGCUCCCAUGCUGGAACAAGGGUGGUGAGAGGAUGCGGAAGCCUUCGGGUCCCUCUUUGUCUCCGGCUGCCACUUCCUUCCUCGCUGCCCGCCUUCCUCUCCUCCGCUCCCCGGCCGGCCUGGUUGUGUCCUGAGCCCAGAGACGGCUGGCCUGCGGGUGUUGUGAGGCCCCCGCUGAGCAUCCACACAACCUCCUUUCUUCUUGUGCCUCCCUCAGAUCGUCUCUGUCUCCAUCCUCCUCUUUGUUUUGAAACCACGGUUUCAGAGUCAGCGCAACAAUAG